UAUUAAAUAUUUUAUAAUUAUAUAAGUAAUUUAUUAAUAAAAAUAAUAAUAAUAAAUUAAACAUAUCAAAGUAAUUUAUAAUAAAAUGAUAAUUUUAAGAAACUGUAAAGAAUAUAUAUAAAUAAAAAUAAAGAAUAUUUUAUUUAUUUUACCUUUUGCAUCAGGGAUAAACAAUUAAAAUUUAUAAAUCAAUAAUUGUCUCGAAAUUAAAUGAGCUAUAAAUAUAUAAAACAUAAUGUAACAAUAUUAUUUUAAAUAUAUUUAUAGAAAUGAAAUAUUAUUCAAAUUUAAAGAUAUCUAGUUCUUUAAGAAAUAAAUUGAAUUUAUCUGUAAUAUAUUUAAGUGUGUAAAUAUUUACACACUUGUAAACUUUAUAGAAAAAAUUUACGGGAUAACCUGUAAAUUUUUUAUUUAAAAGUAUAAUUUAUUUCUAUAAAUAUGUAGAAUAUUAAAUUAUUCACCAUAAAAGAAAAUGUUAUAAUUCAAUUUAUAAUAAAAAUAAUUUUAAAUAAACUUUAAAAAUUAUAUUAAAGAAAUAUUUUUAAUAUUAUAAAAUAUUUUAUAAUGUUUAUAUAAGUAAUAAACUAGUUUACUAAUAAAAUUACCUUUCAAGUAAUAUUAAGGAACUAGGCAAACUUUUUAUUUUCAACUGUUUAACAAAAACAUCGCUUUUAGAGUAUAAUUAAAAGUUAAAUCUGCUCACUGAUUUAAAUAUUUAAGAGCUGCAGUAAAUUAACUGUGCAAAGGUAGCAUAAUAAAUUGAUUUUUAAUUGAAAUCUGGGAUGAAUGAACCAAUGAAAAAUAAACUGUCUCAAUAAUACACCAUGAAAUUAAAUUUUUAGUUAAAAUGCUAAAAUUAUAUUGAAAGACGAUAAGACCCUGUAGAAUUUUAUAAAUCUAAGGCUUUAUUUUGUAAUAGAAUAAAGCUUUAUGAAAUAUUUUAUUGGGGAAAUAAUUAGAUUAAGCAAAUUCUAAUAUUAACAAACAUAAAUAACAGAAUUUUUGAUCAGAAUUAUUCUAUUAAAAAAAUAAAUUACCUCAGGGAUAACAGCGUAAUAUUUUUACAAAGACCUCAUUUUUAAAAAUGUUUGCGACCUCGAUGUUGAAUUAAGGAAUAAGUUAAGUGCAAGAGCUUAAUAUUCAUAGUCUGUUCGACUAUUAAAUUCUUACAUGAUUUGAGUUCAAUUCGGUGUAAACCAGAAUGGUUUCUAUCUUCAAUUUAAGUAAUAAAUAUCGUACGAAAGGAUCCAUUUAUUAAUAUAAAUAUUUAUCUAAUGAAUAAAUAUAAUU
rnacentral:rRNA from 1 species